rfam:Gossypium hirsutum cultivar TM-1 chromosome 6, whole genome shotgun sequence
UGUUAAAAAUUUCAUCCAUUUGUACUAUUAAAAACUAGCGUGAUUGAUGGAAUAACUAAACAAUAAUACGUAGUGUGCCACAUUUAUCUCAUGUUGACAUAUAGAAACCAAUUUUUAAUAGUAGAAUUGGAUGAAAUUUUUUAACA